ACUUGGCAUACAUAUCAAUCAAAGAAGUAGUUAGAGGAACAGCCAUUUUCUCAUCAGCACUAUUCCUUAUAACAUAAGCGUGCAUUGCUCUCCCCAGUUGAAUGUUCUCAAGGUCAGCGAAAAGAGUAACCAUGCUAACCAUGGCAACCUCACUAGGCUUAACAUUAGAAAAGUGCAUAUCUUUUAUAAGUUCCAAUCCUUCACGGAACAAUCUGUUCCGACAAUAGCUUCUAAUCAUUGUACUCCAAGAAACAACAUCUCUUUCACCCAUUGUAUCAAACAGUAACCGUGCUGAUGCUAAACCCCCACAUUCAGCAUACAUCAGCAUUAAAGCAUUGCGUAUAAAAACAUCACCAAACAGUCCAUUUUUAAGAACGAAACCGUGAAUCUCUUUCCCCAAAUGGGUCAUUGAGAUUUGACUGCAAGCUUUAAGAAUUGAUGGUACAAUAAAAUUGUCCACUUCAGUGUCCAAAGUCCUCAUAUAAACAUAAAUGUUUAAUGCGCUUUGGGGUUCAUCGUUUCUAAUGUAGGCAGAUAAAAGGAGAUUGUAAAGGGCUUGAGGGCUUAAGCGGGGAGUAAGUGUAGAAGCAUGGAGAGAAAACGUGUAAGUGUCAUUGAAGUGGGUUUUGAUGAGAUGGGCAUGGAUUUGCUUUGUUUGAUAAAGGGAGAGAAGAUUAUUAGGGGUAGGAGAAGAGUUUUGGUCGAGAUGAGAAAUCUGGGUGAGUCUGAGGGUGGAGGGAAGAGUUGGGAAGGGUGGUUGG
rnacentral:misc_RNA from 1 species